UGACCUUCUGCCCGAGAAAGGAGGACACAGGCACUUCGAGAGCCUCUCUCUCUCUCUCUCUCUUAUUGCAGGAUUCUUAGGAAUCAAAACUUUUGGUCCUUGGAGGAGAAGUUUUUGUUUCCAAGCAAGUGUGAAUUCUAAAAGUUCGAGCAGUUUGGCUCAAAAAUCUCAUUCUCUUCUGGUUGUAGCUUCAGUUCCAGAAUCAAUUAAAAGGAGGUUCUCCUCGUGUUGCAAUCCUGAUCCUUCAAUCAGGCUGGCAGAAAAGGUGGAAACUAGGAUGGGUUGCAGAGUGAUUCACACUUGGACGUUCUGUUCGUUAGUUGGUGCAUUUCUAGACCUUGGUUUGGCUUAUCUUUUUCUAUGUGGGUCCACGAUCGCAUUUUUUUCUGCAAAAUUCUUGGGUCUUUUCGGUUUGAGCUUGCCUUGCCCCUGCAAUGGACUCUUCGGGGACCCAGAUUCUGGAAAUAGCGGUAGAUGCAUACAGAGGAUGCUGGUUGAAUACCCGGCCAGGAGGAUAUCGUCUGUUCAGAUGCUGGCGCAGAGGAGGUUUCCAUUUGAUCGGAUUUUUGUCAAGGGAGAUUACACUUCAAACGUGAAACUGUUGGAGGAUGGUGGAACCCAUAGUCGGCUCUUGGAGACGGGUUCUGGGGAUAGUCGAGGCCAUACGGUGGAGUCGAUUUGUUCCGCAUAUACAGAAGGACAGGGAAUGAAUAAUUUGGUCGUGAAUGAAGCGCAUUCAAGCAGUGAGCUGGAUGGGGAAAACUUCGCGGUUCAGUAUCGAAAUGGCAGACAGUUGGAACAGAAAGGAAAAGCCCUUUCGAUUCCGAAGCCGCGGCCUUCUCUGCGUCGACGACGGAAAGCUGGCGUCGAGCACGGCAGAACCUCAAAUGCAGCUUCAGCAAUUCACCUGAGGCUGGUUGGACAAGGAAACUCGGUUUGCAACAGCGAGCAAGGCCAAGAGACAUCUGAUGAAAGCUUUACCUGCAGCUGUUCAAGAGGCAGCGUUCAACAUUGCAUAGAGCGUUCACAUGGAGAAGGACAUGUGGAGAGAACAUUGUCUGGCAGCGACUCAAAUGGUAUAUCUGGGGAGCAGAAAAUCAUGGUUGGAGGUCCCCAUGAAAAGAGAAAGUUUGGUGAAAAUGAGGCAAUUGAUGUCCAGGAUUUGGAACGAGCUCUCAAGGCAGAACAUAAUGCUAGGUCCGCUCUCUACCUUGAGCUGGAGGAGGAGAGAAAUGCAGCUGCUACUGCCGCUGAUGAAGCCUUGGCUAUGAUUUCACGCCUUCAAGAGGAGAAGGCAGUGAUAGAGAUGGAAGCACGCCAGUAUCGGAGGAUGAUCGAAGAAAAAGCUGCAUAUGAUGCAGAAGAAAUGAGUAUUCUUAAAGAAAUCUUAUUGAGGCGUGAGCGUGAGAAACUGGUUCUAGAGAAGGAGGUUGAAGUUUACAGGGAGAUGCUUUUCACCGGCAAAUCUGAACAGUCUGAAGAAGAUGAUCGUUCCACUGCAGAGGCAACAUUAGGAAAAGGCCAUGGCCUUUCAUUUGACAUGAAUGAUGACCCAGAAAUUCUGCUUCAGCAGAUUAGUGCAUCUCUUGUAAAGAGGAAAGCGUUCAGAGAUGCAAGUAGUUUUAAUGCGGACCUUGGGUCCCUAUUGGAGGCAGAAAAUAACUUUAAGGAUUCACCAGUAUUUGCAAAUUCAAAAGACGAGGAUUCUGCUAAGGACAAGGACACCGUUAAACAUCUCGAUGUUUAUGGUUCUUCUGAUCAAGCUUCAUCCUCUAAGCAAACUGGUCUUCAUGGGCUUGAAAGCAGUGACAAACACUCAGUUUCGGUAGAUGGGUCAACUAAGAGGUUUGAUGUGCAAUUUGAUGAGAAGACAAUGCUAUCCAUUGUUGACCCCACAAAUUCCCAAUCUUGGCCAUCAAAGUUACAAGAUGCCGCUAUGUCUAGUCAGUCAUGCUGCCGUCUGGCACAGGGUAUUCAUGAUGAUAAUAGUUCACUUCAUGCAGAAUGUAAGCUGAAAGGAAAUGAGGAGGGGAAUGCUAUAUAUAAUGCUACUUCUGAGAGAGGUCAUUGUCCUUGUGUCAGCAGAAAGGAACAUGACAUUUUGCUUUAUGAUCCAGACCAGCUUGGAGAUCACGUUGAUGUUGCUAAUCAUAACACCAGUGACUAUAAGGGUUCUGCAUUUGACCCUGAAUCAGGGGUUUAUGACGUGCAUGUGGUUAAUGAUAAUAUUCAAAUUAGCAAAAUAGAUUCUGGACAGGAAAGUGAGGGGCUGUCAUCAGGAACUAAAUACAGUAGCAUGGGUAGAAAUGGCCAUUCAGUGAUAGCACCUAGAAUUACUAAUGAAGAUGCUUCCAGCGAUCGAUCUAGUUCAAACAAGAAUGAAGGACGAUCAGAUCUGAUAAGAAGUGGUUCAGAAAUGAACAUAGGUGCACAAGCAUGGGAUGGUCGGGCUCUAUCUGUAGACCUAAGAAGACACUCCAUAUCUGUUGUUGAGGGUGAGAAACUAAGACUUAACAAUGAAGUUGGACAGCUCAUAGAAAGGCUACGAACAGUGCAAAAAAGUCGAGAUAAGCUGAGCCUUUCAUUGGAACACAGGGAGAAAGAGAAAACCCAUAUGCAACUUUUGGAACAAAUAGUACAACAACUUAGAGAGAUCCGUGAACUAACAGAACCUGGAAACUCUGUUCGCCAGGCAUCCUUGCCACCUCUAUCUUCUAAGAGAAAUAUCAGGGCGUGCCACUGUAACAUAUAGGAGUUUGCCAAUCAGUGAGCCGUAUGAUUUGCUAUCUACCUUUCGGAGAAUCAUGAUGAGAUGUAGCUGAGCUUUGUCUGAAGUACUUUAGCAGGAAAGGGGAGGAACUUCGUGCCUUGUGAAGACACUGCCCAAAUUUGUAUAUUGCUUCAGUGAAUAAAGACUUUGGUUGGUGCCUUUCUGAACCUCCCAUGAACUCUAUGCUCUUUGCGGCAUCCUCUAAGAAGCGACGGUGUCGAAGUGUGUCCUGGGGUCUAAAUGAAAGCACAUGAACAACUUUGUUCAUGCAAGCGUUCUUUGUGCUGUAAGAGACUCUGAAUGAAGGUGGUCUUCUAUGAUCGUGCGAGAACAUGGUGGAGAUCCUCACAUCUGUUGACAGUGAUGCCAAUAUUAAGAUACUCCAGUUUGGUGGCUUUUUGCUGUGCCAAAAUGCGAUCUGAGGGAGCACCUUUUCCUGAAAAAUGUUUCCUUUUGGAAAGGAACAACCACGUUCCACUGUAAAGCUUUCUCCUGUAUAUAGAGGUUUACUAAAAAAAGGUCUUUUUCAUUUCUCAAUGCUUUGCCCCUUUUACAGAUCGAA